GACGAACGCUGGCGGCGUGCUUAACACAUGCAAGUCGAACGGAAAGGCCCUGCUUUUGUGGGGUGCUCGAGUGGCGAACGGGUGAGUAACACGUGAGUAACCUGCCCUUGACUUUGGGAUAACUUCAGGAAAAUGGGGCUAAUACCGGAUAGGAGCUCCUGCUGCACGGUGGGGGUUGGAAAGUUUCGGCGGUUGGGGAUGGACUCGCGGCUUAUCAGCUUGUUGGUGGGGUAGUGGCUUAACAAGGCUUUGACGGGUAGCCGGCCUGAGAGGGUGACCGGCCACAUUGGGACUGAGAUACGGCCCAGACUCCUACGGGAGGCAGCAGUGGGGAAUAUUGCACAAUGGGCGGAAGCCUGAUGCAGCAACGCCGCGUGCGGGAUGACGGCCUUCGGGUUGUAAACCGCUUUCGCCUGUGACGAAGCGUGAGUGACGGUAAUGGGUAAAGAAGCACCGGCUAACUACGUG
rnacentral:rRNA from 1 species